UUUUAACCUUGAUUGUUUUGGCAAGACGUUUUACUGUAGCAGUGUGGUGUGUUCAGUGACACACUGGAAAUACAAAUUUAAGGCGGACUAUUACGACGACAUUGGUCCCCGAGCUGGAGCUGUUGGGUGGCGACUGGUUGGCCACUGUGAAGCCGUAACUUCGCCGACUGAGCCGGGUGGCGUUCACGACUGUGUUGCCAUGUAAAUGGGAAAAAAAAUCUAAUCUUAACGAAAGCCCAGACCUUUAUCAUGUACCCCCUCACUUGUGGUUGUGGCCCUAAACAACCGCAUAGAGCAGAGGUCUUCAACAGGGCGUCCACGACCCCCAAGGGAGCUUUCGAG